GCCCGAGUAGCUCAAUUGACGGAGCGCUGGUCCUACAAACCAGAGGUUGAAGGUUUGAGUCCUUCCUUGGGCACCA
rnacentral:tRNA from 1 species